rnacentral:rRNA from 1 species
GACGAACGCUGGCGGCGUGCCUAAUACAUGCAAGUUGAGCGCCGAAGGUUGGUACUUGUACCAACUGGAUGAGCAGCGAACGGGUGAGUAACGCGUGGGGAAUCUGCCUUUGAGCGGGGGACAACAUUUGGAAACGAAUGCUAAUACCGCAUAAAAACUUUAAACACAAGUUUUAAGUUUGAAAGAUGCAAUUGCAUCACUCAAAGAUGAUCCCGCGUUGUAUUAGCUAGUUGGUGAGGUAAAGGCUCACCAAGGCGAUGAUACAUAGCCGACCUGAGAGGGUGAUCGGCCACAUUGGGACUGAGACACGGCCCAAACUCCUACGGGAGGCAGCAGUAGGGAAUCUUCGGCAAUGGACGAAAGUCUGACCGAGCAACGCCGCGUGAGUGAAGAAGGUUUUCGGAUCGUAAAACUCUGUUGGUAGAGAAGAACGUUGGUGGGAGUGGAAAGCUCAUCAAGUGACGGUAACUACCCAGAAAGGGACGGCUAACUACGUG